rnacentral:tRNA from 1 species
UGUGGUUUACACAUUUGGCUGCUAACCAAAAGGCUGGCAGUUCAAAUCUGCCAGCCACUC